rnacentral:lncRNA from 1 species
AUUUUUGUUCGACAAAAUGGCAUGAAAAAUGAGAGGGAGGGGGUGCCACAUGCUAAAAGUUCUUCUGCGUUAAGUCAUUUGAUGACAUAGAGCCUUGCAACUCUUAGGUUUCUAAAUCUAUAAAUAGGCCCCCCUGCCAUAAGGUUUUAUUCAUCAAAAAAUUCAGAGCCUCUCCUCUCCUCUCCAUGCCAUCUCCCUCUCCUCUCUACUCCUUUCUCUUCUACAUGCCCAAAGGAGUUGGGCUGGUCCAUCUAAUGCUCUCGAAGAGUCGGAUGUUGGUCGAUCUAUGCAAAGGAAGAAAAAGACUGCGAUCAAGGUUGAUCGAGAUCCUACCAAAGAUCAGAUCAAAGGUAGAUCUAGG